AUCCGCCGGCGCCAACGGCCGCGGAGGAAACCGAGCCCGCGACCGAGCCGCUCAAGCCCCGCCCCGGGCAGGCCGCUGUCUCUCCCGACGCCCUCCCCGCCUGCCGGCGCGCCCUACCCGAGCGGGCGCCGACUCCGCCAUGGCCGCAGUCGCCCCACAACACCGACUGGCGGGAGAGUGCUCGGGCCGGGUGCCACUCCGCCAACCGCCUGGACUUCGGGGAGCCGCCACCGCCGCGGUGUUGAUACAAGGUGCAUUCUGGGAACGUGCCCCCUCCCCGUGCCAAGAAGAGCUGCCCCCGCUCCUCCCGCCGCGCGGCCUUCCUACUGCGCCACAGUGCUCCGGGAAGGUGAACUGCAGCUUGCCGCUCCAGCCAUUGACUAUGGGGUAUAAGCGCACAACCAAGAGCAUCUUUUGGGUUUAAGUGGUCUCUGGCUUAUGCCACCUUCUCAGGACUUCCAUCGAACCCUUCCUGACCUCCUCUGACAGCUGUGUCUGCCCCGCUUCUAACAAGUUCUACAGGGCUACACCACAGUGGAUCCCCGGCUCGCUGACGGUCAUCUGUGGGACAGUUUGAGUAUUCAAGGUCUUCCGUGGCCUGGACUGUGCCUCACCAUCUAACUGUAUAUCCUACAAGUCCGUACCUCUCUGCUCUGGCCACACCGAUCUCCUUCUUCCUUACAGUCCCUUCUCCCUGCCUUCCUUUCCGUUUGCCCCAUGCAGCUCAUGCUUGCAGCCUGACUUCUCCAGGCAGCCGCACCUGCUGCUUCAUGCAACAUGAGCUCAGCACGUCUUACAUAGGCCAGCUGUCAACAAGCACUACUACCUUGGAUUGCCCAUCUCUUCUCCAUGUGCAUCAGCCUCCUAACUUCAGCCACAUGCAAACCAUCCCCCAAUACUGACAUGGGCUAAAACAUCAAGGUGAUUCACUGAUUGAUAUGCACAGGCCAGCAUACUGAAAGUCACUGACUUUGGUCAGUUCUGAGAGUAGAGCUUAUUGUCCUGGGGCUUGUCUCAAGGACUGGGACCACUCAUGCUGUAGCUGAGGGCACCAGUACAGUGAAAGCCACUGGAAUGUGAUCCAGGAACCCACAGGUAGGCACUGUGGGCAUUGGUGCUUGCUCACUGGCUUCUCUAGACCAGUGUUCUCCAGCCUUUCUGUAUCAUGCCACUGUGGCAAGCCCUAAGGGAGAUCAAGUGUGUGUUUCUACAUCUAGCCUACAUGCAGCCACAUGGUUUCAUUCUCACAAAUGUCUUCUCUCUCCUAUUACAUCUCAAGCUUGACAAGAAUUGGGUCUUACACAUGGUCACUAAGUGUUGAAUAAUGAUCAAGGCCCAUCUGUCGUCAGUCUUAUCCUCUAAACACUUUUUCUAUAGAAUGACACAAAUCACAAAAUGUUAAGGGACCAGGUCAAGCUUGGUGGUGCAUGCCUUUAAUUCCAGCACUCAGGAGACAGAGGCAUGCAAAUCUCAGUGAGUUCCAGGCCAGUCUGGUCUACAGAGCAAGUUCUAGGCCAGGCAGCACUGCAUAAUAAGACAUGGUCUUUAAAAAAAAAAAGUUCCACAGGGUGGACACCUUUAAUCCCAGCACUCAGGAGACAGAGGCAGACAGAUCUUUGUAUUUGAGGCUAGCCUGGUCUACAGAUCAAGUUCCAGGAUAGCCAAGCCUACACAAAGAGAUCCUAUCUCAAAAAAGAAAAUAAAACAGAAAUAACAAACAAAGAGGUAAGGGACUCAGGCCCUGACCAGUGUCACACAGCAGUUCUCUGGAAGGUAGACAUGACCAUCACCACUGUGAAGCAGAGCUGCUAGGGUAGCCUACAGGAGACCUUGGUCCACAGUCUCAGUAAAAUGAACAGUACAGCCACUGGGUCUAUAAUGGCAGUGAGGCUGUUACGAUCCCUUGUGGAGAGAGGGAAGCGUCACAGCUGACCUCACCAGAGGAUUUGGUCAGCCCUCCCCCUGCCCAGUUGUAUAUAAUCUUAGACAUGCUAAUGUGUGUAAGAGGUAGAAAACGGACUGGGGUGGAACUCUUCAGGGGUGCCGCUGCCCGAGCUGUCCGUGCUUCUGUAAUUACUCUUAGUAAACCCACUCACCAACUGCUCUGGCUGGAAUCCAUCUUUGGUCUGUCGGAGUGAAUACUACUUUCAUGGCUCCCCAGAUCCCCUCCUUGUCUCUCCUUUUGAGAAGCAGCCUUUGCAAGGCUCUGUACCCAGAGUGGUGGCAGUGCAGAGAAAUGCUGCAAACCAGGAGUCAGCUGUCUGGACAAUGAACACAGCUUCAGAAGGAUCUAGAAGCAGCUCUGAGCACUGGAUGUUUUCAUCUUUCUGGGUCUCUUCCCCCCACUUUUCACUAUUUGAGACUUUAAGCGCGCGCACGCGCGCGCGCGUGCACACACACACACACACACACACACACACACACACACCCCUGGGGCUGGAGAGAUGGGUUCUUGCUAUUCUUGCAGAAGACCUGGAUUUGGUUCCUAGCACCCACAUCAGGAAGGGGGCCAUGCUAACAAAAGCCAUUCAGAGUGUAGUGGAGGGUGGCAGGACCCACCAAACUGGGCUCCAGAGCCUUGGCUGUCAAUAGCUCCAUCAACAUACCUCUUUGGGAAUCAGCUUCUUAGGUGUAAAAUGAACUAAGCUCAAACUAUGUGUUAA